CAAUAGCGUAUAUUAAAGUUGUUGCAGUUAAAAAGCUCGUAGUUGGAUUUCGGGGCAGCCUGGCUGGUCCGCCGCAAGGCGAGUACUGGUCAGCCGCCCUUCCUCUCGAAAGCCCCGACUGCUCUUCGUUGCAGUGGUCGGGUAGUUCGGGACGUUUACUUUGGAAAAAUUAGAGUGUUCAAGGCAGGCCUACGCCUGAAUACAUUAGCAUGGAAUAAUGGAAGAGGACCUCGGUCCUAUUUUGUUGGUUUCCAGGGCCGAAGUAAUGAUUAAGAGGGACAGUUGGGGGCAUUCGUAUUUAAUUGUCAGAGGUGAAAUUCUCGGAUUUAUGAAAGACGAACAACUGCGAAAGCAUUUGCCAAGGAUGUUUUCAUUAA
rnacentral:rRNA from 1 species